GACCGCGUAGCUCAGUUGGCAGAGCAUUGGGCUGGUAUUCCAAAGGUCGUAGGUUCGAUUCCCACCGUGGCCG